AUUGAACGCUGGCGGCAGGCCUAACACAUGCAAGUCGAGCGAGCGGCGGACGGGUGAGUAAUGUAUGGGGACUGCCCGAUAGAGGGGGAUAACUACUGGAAACAGUAGCUAAUACCGCAUACUAUCGGAUAACCCAUAUGGGAUUAGCUAGUAGGUGAGGUACUGGCUCACCUAGGCGACGAUCCCUAGCUGGUCUGAGAGGAUGAUCCGCCCCACUGGUGCUGACACACGGCCCAGACUCCUCCGGAGGCAGCAGUGGGGAAUAUUGCACAAUGGGCGCAAUCCUGAUGCAGCCAUGCCGCGUGUAUGAAGAAGGCCCUAGGGUUGUAAAGUACUUUCAGUCGUGAGGCGUUACCGACAGAAGAAGCACCGGCUAACUCCGUGCCAGCAACCGCGGUAAUUC
rnacentral:rRNA from 1 species